CAAUAGCGUAUAUUAAAGUUGUUGCAGUUAAAAAGCUCGUAGUUGGAUCUCAGGUCCCGGCUCGCGGUUCACUUCGCGGUGCUUACUGCCCGUCCGGACCUACCCGCCGGUUUUCCCUUGGUGCUCUUCAUUGAGUGUCUCGGGUGGCCGGAACGUUUACUUUGAAAAAAUUAGAGUGUUCAAAGCAGGCGCUUCGCCUGAAUAAUGGUGCAUGGAAUAAUGGAAUAGGACCUCGGUUCUAUUUUGUUGGUUUUCGGAACUCGAGGUAAUGAUUAAGAGGGACAGACGGGGGCAUUCGUAUUACGGUGUUAGAGGUGAAAUUCUUGGAUCGCCGUAAGACGAACUACUGCGAAAGCAUUUGCCAAGAAUGUUUUCAUUAGUCAAGAACGAAAGUCAGAGGUUCGAAGACGAUCAGAUACCGUCCUAGUUCUGACCAUAAACGAUGCCGACUGGAGAUCCGCCGGAGUUGUUUCACUGACCCGGCGGGCAUCCUCUGGGAAACCGUAAGUCUAUGGGUUCCGGGGGAAGUAUGGUUGCAAAGCUGAAACUUAAAGGAANUGACGGAAGG
rnacentral:rRNA from 1 species